GAUGAACGCUGGCGGCGUGCUUAACACAUGCAAGUCGAGCGAGUGAGUUCUUCGGAACGAUCUAGCGGCGGACGGGUGAGUAACACGUGGGCAACCUGCCUCAUAGAGGGGAAUAGUCUCCCGAAAGGGCGAGUAAUACCGCAUAACAUCGUUGAAGGGCAUCCUUCGAUGAUCAAAGGAGCAAUCCGCUAGGAGAUGGGCCCGCGGCGCCUUGGGUAGUUGGUGAGGUAACGGCUCACAAAGGUGACGGUGCGUCGCCGACCUGGGAGGGUGAUCGGCCACAUUGGGACUGAGACACGGCCCAGACUCCUGCGGGAGGCAGCAGUGGGGAAUAUUGCACAAUGGGGGAAACCCGGAUGCAGCAACGCCGCGUGAGUGAUGACGGCCUUCGGGUUGUAAAGCUCUGUCUUUGGGGACGAUAAUUACGGUACCCAAGGAGGAAGUCACGGCUAACUACGUGCCAGCAGCCGCCGUAA
rnacentral:rRNA from 1 species